GCCAAGUAUGUAGGCAUGCUGGUGGUGCACAGGGAAACACCUCUGGGCAGAGCCCAGUGAGGAGGUUAGAGCAUCUGGGGCUCCCAAGACUGCCUGAACUGUUGGGUCAAGGAAGGGCUGGGGAGGCAUAAGACCCUGUGUUUCCCAAUCUUGAGCAUCUUUGGUGAUUCGAAUGGAUGCACCAGUAAGAACUGGUGGAAACAAGAAAGUAUCUGCAGAUCAAAAUGAACCCCUCCCCCCACUCCCAGGUGCCCCUCUGCUAGAGAACCAUCCUCAGCC